UACAGAGGGUGCGAGCGUUGUCCGGAAUCACUGGGCGUAAAGGGCGCGUAGGUGGUGGCUUAAGCGUGCGGUGAAAGCUCGGGGCUCAACCCCGAGUCGGCCGUGCGAACUGGGCUCACUGGAGCAUAGUAGAGGCAGGUGGAAUUCCGGGUGUAGCGGUGGAAUGCGUAGAGAUCCGGAAGAACACCGGUGGCGAAGGCGGCCCGCUGGGCUAUGGCUGACACUGAGGCGCGACAGCGUGGGGAGCAAACAGG
rnacentral:rRNA from 1 species